GAGAGGUCAGUCUAACUCUGUGUUGUUCAUACUCUAGGUUCUGAGAGAGUGGUCAGUCUAACUAUGUGUUGUUCAUACUCUAGGUUCUGAGAGAGUGGUCAGUCUAACUCUGUGUUGUUCAUACUCUUUCUGAGAGAGUGGUCAGUCUAACUAUGUGUUGUUCAUACUCUAGGUUCUGAGAGAGUGGUCAGUCUAACUCUGUGUUGUUCAUACUCUAGGUUCUGAGAGAGAGGUCAGUCUAACUAUGUGUUGUUCAUACUCUAGGUUCUGAGAGAGUGGUCAGUCUAACUCUGUGUUGUUCAUACUCUUUCUGAGAGAGUGGUCAGUCUAACUCUGUGUUGUUCAUACUCUAGGUUCUGAGAGAGUGGUCAGUCUAACUAUGUGUUGUUCAUAUUCUAGGUUCUGAGCGAGUGGUCAGUCUAACUCUGUGUUGUUCACACUCUAGGUUCUGAGAGAGUGGUCAG
ensembl:lncRNA